UACGGAGGGUGCAAGCGUUAAUCGGAAUUACUGGGCGUAAAGGGUGCGUAGGCGGUUUGUUAAGUCUGUUGUGAAAUCCCCGGGCUCAACCUGGGAAUGGCAAUGGAUACUGGCAAGCUAGAGUGUGUCAGAGGAUGGUGGAAUUUCCGGUGUAGCGGUGAAAUGCGUAGAGAUCGGAAGGAACAUCAGUGGCGAAGGCGGCCAUCUGGGACAACACUGACGCUCAAGCACGAAAGCCAGGGUAGCGAACGGG
rnacentral:rRNA from 1 species